CUUGUAUUUCUCAGAUUUUCCAAGAUACCAAAGGCUGCAAUCAAAAUUCACCAAUUUAAAUGUUUUAAGAAUUGAAAAACCCAUCUUGGUCAACCACUCACAAAUGGAUAUCUUUUUCUAUUUAUUAUAGACAUAAUUGCAUGAAUGCCCUUUUCAACCCAUCCCCUCAAACCGCCUACUUCCAUUCAAGCAUAUAAUGCUCACAUUUCACAGUCCAAUCAAUUCCCAAUGGAUCAAAGUCCCACCAUACUUUUUUUUUCUAGUUGAAUAUCCUGUUUCACUCAAAAAUACAUCAGACUAUGUUAAGCAAAAUCUCUUGCGAACAGCAUGACUUUAAUGUUAUAGCUCCAUACUCUUACUCUAUGCCAACAAUUUUCUCAUUUAUUCAGGGAUUAAAGGAUUUCCAUGAGAUUCUCUGUGAGCACCUGGAUCUGUGGGACCAGCAUGGAUCUGUCCGCUGCCCCCAGAGAGAGGAAAGCACAUCCACCUGGCUCUUGCCCAGAAACACUCCUCAAUGCCUGCCUUUAAGUCCAUUCUGAGGUCUGCACCACUGCUUCCAGAUGUAUCGGCUCAUAACUUCAUCCUCCAGCAGCCCAGACUCUGAUCAUGGAAGAACUUAGGCAACGAGUUUGACCUUCAGUCAGGACAGCAGCAAGUCUGUCUGAAACAUUCAGAUCAGCCUAUCAACGAGACAAAUUGAAACAACACUAUUUGUUCCUAAAACAUCUGAAUACCAGAUAUGUUGUUAUUUAAUAAUAUUUCUUGGUACAGUACAUUAAAUGGACCGGAAUAACCAAUAUUCUCCAAAGGAUGUCUGAGCUUGGCUCAAAUAAAAACUGCAUUUCUAAAAAGUACUGAUUAUUGGAUGGGAUUUGAGUCGGGAUAUUUGGUUGAGGUCUGUUUCAUGAACGGUGGAAAUAUUUGACUCACUUUAGCAGAUCUAAAAAAUAUGUUUCAUUUUAAUGAGAGAAUCCAGUGGAAUGCCAGACUGCUGCUUUGCCUCGGGAUUUUUGCUUGCUAUUAAUCAGGCAUGGCUAAGAUGAGUUUAAUGCAAAGCUCUCUAGCUCCCCCGAGUGAUUAGAAAAUGUAACUGCUUAUUUUACCAUUUGUAGCCAUUGAAAAGUAUCCAUAUAUUCUAACAAAAUAAAAUGCACAAAUAGCCAGUUUCAUUACAAAACAUUUACAACAGCCUCUGUUAGAAGCAUAAAAUGGAGCUGAGUAGAUGUACAUGUGGCUUCUUCUUCUUCCUCUUCUUUUUUUUUUUUUUUUUUGCUGUGAAAUCUUGACUGAUUUUUAUUAAGUAAAUGUAAGAAUAACUUUUAUAUUGUUACUAAUAUUUCAAGAUGAACAUUUACUGAAGCAACUUGAGAGAAAAAAACAUGUAAUGUUAAAAUAUAAUGAAUGUAAUGUUAAAAAACAUGUAAUGUUAAAAUGUAAGUAUCAAAUAAUAUAUGAUACAUCAGGCUUUUGAGGAAUGUUUAUUUGUGCAUCACUCAGUCAUUAUUGUCUUGCAUUGCAUUUUUAUUGUGCCCUCCCCCCCCAACACACACACACACACAAAAAAAAAAAAAAACAUAAAAAGAAAUCAUAAAAGUAUUUUAAGCAUUUAAGUAUCAUUUUUCUGAAACAUAUUAUAAAGUGACAACUGAUUGUUUAAAGUAUUUUAAGUAGUCUAUUAUACUGUUAUAAAGAUCUCACUGAUUCACAUUACAAGCAAUCAGAAUUUCAUCCUACUUUUUGGUUAUAUAAAUAUGAGCAAGAUUUUGUUAGGUGUUAUAAAAAAUUGUCCUUUCAGUUUCCUUUUCCUAAACUAGUAUUCUUCUAUUAUUCCCCCACAAGUCACAUAAGGGAGGGCAAGAGAUAAAAAUGCAGAGAUGUGAGUCUCAGUGGUGUAAUUGUACAGGCCUUGUGGAGCUUGCCCAGUUAAGCUGAUUUAGAGUCCCUCUUGAAUAGACUGUCAUUAUGCUGCAAAAAGAAGAAAAAAAAGAAAUCUUGUCAUCCAGUGAAAAAUAAAAUAAAACGGAUAUUUACUUUGAGCAAAACUUAAUUGAAUAUUGAGACUUAAUAUCAAAUUUUAUUAUUUUAUUUUCAACAUUAUUUAGCUGUAUUCUGGUAUUGCUGUAUCUCUCCACUAGAUGGGAGAAGACACCAGUGCUUACUGAGCUGCACUAUAGACAUCCAACACAGUACCUUCAUUAAUAUAUGUCAGUCUAAUAUGUGCAGCUCAAAGUGCAUUUAAAGUCAACAUUGACCUUGUUUACUCUAAUAAAUAUCCCCUUUCUUAUUAUACAUACAGUAUGACAUAAAAAAAAAAAACUUUGCUGAUUUACAUUGAGAUAUUCCUGAAAGUAAACUAAAAAAAUGGGUGUCUAUAGUGUUUCAACGGGGGUAUUUGUCAAAUUAUUAUAUUAUUAUAAUUACUAUUUUGUUUACUUAGAAAACAAUAGUAAUAAUAUAUGAUACAUCUUUGAGGAAUGUUUAUUUGUGCAUCACUCAGUCAUUAUUGUCUUGCAUCCCCCCCCCCCCCCCCACACACACACACACAAA
ensembl:lncRNA